UUCUCUGCAAACCCCCCACAUCCUGGACACAAACUAUAGACUUUCACCUUCAGGUUGGGGCUACAGAUCGCUUUUUGCUAGAAACAACCAAAAGAUUUCUGUAGGCAACAGUAUUCGGAUCACAUCACUAGCUCCACUGUGUCUAUGAUCCGAGAUGCUUCUGCUGAUCAGGAGCGCAGGAAAGCGUCCAAUUUGAUGCAUUCGGAUACCGUCUAGUCUACGGAUAACUCAGUUACAUCUGGGAGACAAAAACUAAGCCGUCCAGGAAACAACACCACAGUUUGUCAAACUUCAAGCUAAUAAAAUACUUCAAUCAAAUA